AGCGAACGCUGGCGGCAGGCUUAACACAUGCAAGUCGAACGGGCAUCCUUGAGGUGUCAGCGGUAGACGGGUGAGUAACGCGUGGGAACGUGCCCUUCGGUUCGGAAUAACUCAGGGAAACUUGAGCUAAUACCGGAUACGUGCGAGAGCAGAAAGGUUUAUCUGCCGAAGGAUCGGCCCGCGUCUGAUUAGCCAGUUGGUGAGGUAAUGGCUCACAAAGGCGACGAUGAGUAGCUGGUCUGAGAGGAUGAUCAGCCACACUGGAAGGGAGACAGGGCCGAGACUCGGACGGGAGGCAGCAGGGGGGAAUAGUCGGCAAUGGGCGAGAGCGUGAUGGAGCAAUAGCGCGUGAGUGAAGAAGGUCUUCGGAUUGUAAAGCACGGUUGGUGGGAAAGAAAAACAGCAGGUGAAUACCCGGCUGUUAUGACGGUACCGAAUGAAUAAGCAACGGCUAACUACGUG
rnacentral:rRNA from 1 species